GGGGCUAUUGUCUGGUUUUGCGGUCUGUGUCCACAUUGCAGGGGAAUUAUUGUUUUGUUUCGCUGUCUGCGCCGCAUCGCAGAGGGGCUAUUGUCUGGUGUUGCGGUCUGUGUCCACAUUGCAGGGGAAUUAUUGUCUUGUUUCGCUGUCUGCGCCGCAUCGCAGAGGGGCUAUUGUCUAGUUUUGCGGUCUGUGUCUGUUUUUAGGCUUAUUUGUGGUGUUUUGCCGUUGUUGAGGGAGAACUUUUGCUUAAACAUGCAUGCUAACAAAACUGUUGUGGCUAACAUAGGCGUGCUGAUUUGAUGUUUACACAGGGCCGCUAACAAAGUAGCUAGUGUGCUACCUUUUAGCGGCGCUGUGUAAACAGUAAGCUAGUUGUAACUUAGUAAUUGGGUGACUUCACUGAACUCUUGCAGAUCAUAAUUUAGCAUUUUACGGUGGUGGUGGAAGUCUAUUGUCUUGUUUCGCGUUCUGUGUCCACAUCGCAGAGGGGCUAUUGUCUGGUUUUGCAAUCUGUGUCUGUGUUUUUACGCUUAUUUGUGGUGUUUUACCGUUGUUGAGGGAGAACUUUUGCUUAAACAUGCAUGCUAACAAAACUGUUGUGGCUAACAUAGGCGUGCUGAUUUGAUGUUUACACAGCGCCGCUAACAAAGUAGCUAGUGUGCUACUUUGUUAGCGGCCCUGUGUAAACAGUAAGCUAGUUGUAACUUAGUUAUUCUGUGACUUCACUGAACUCUUGGAGAUCAUAAUUUAGCACUUUACAGUGGUGGUGGAAGUCUAUUGUCUUGUUUCGCUGUCUGCGUCAGCAUCGUAGAGGGGCUAUUGUCUGGUUUUGCGGUCUGUGUCCACAUUGCAGUGGAAUUAUUGUCUUGUUUUGCUGUCUGUGUCCCCAUCGCAAGGGGGCUUUGGUCUGAUUU